AGGAAGGAGGACUAGGUACGGCCUGACUAGGAAGGAGGACCAGGUACGGCCUGACCAGGAAGGGAGGACUAGGUACGGCCUGACUAGGAAGGAGGACUAGGUACGGCCUGACUAGGAAGGAGGACUAGGUACGGCCUGACUAGGUACGGCCUGACCAGGAAGGAGGACUAGGUACGGCCUGACUAGGAAGGAGGACUAGGUACGGCCUGACUAGGAAGGAGGACUAGGUACGGCCUGACCAGGAAGGAGGACUAGGUACGGCCUGACUAGGAAGGAGGACUAGGUACGGCCUGACUAGGAAGGAGGACUAGGUACGGCCUGACCAGGAAGGAGGACUAGGUACGGCCUGACUAGGAAGGAGGACUAGGUACGGCCUGACUAGGAAGGAGGACUAGGUACGGCCUGACUAGGAAGGAGGACUAGGUACGGCCUGACUAGGAAGGAGGACUAGGUACGGCCUGACCAGGAAGGAGGACUAGGUACGGCCUGACUAGGAAGGAGGACUAGGUACGGCCUGACUAGGUACGGCCUGACCAGGAAGGAGGACUAGGUACGGCCUGACUAGGAAGGAGGACUAGGUACGGCCUGACUAGGAAGGAGGACUAGGUACGGCCUGACCAGGAAGGAGGACUAGGUACGGCCUGACCAGGAAGGAGGACUAGGUACGGCCUGACCAGGAAGGAGGACUAGGUACGGCCUGACUAGGAAGGAGGACUAGGUACGGUCUGACCAGGAAGGAGGACUAGGUACGGCCUGACCAGGAAGGAGGACUAGGUACGGCCUGACCAGAUUGACAAGGCAUUCCGUCAAGAGUCGUUACAGAGGCUUGACUGCUGUGAGGGUAAUAUGCACAAUAUAAUUCACACACUGCAGCACCCCCAAACGAUUUGUGUUCCAGUUUGUUGAGCAGAGGCAGUGUAUCAUCAUAACAUUCAAUUAUUAAUGAGUUAGGGGCGGCAGGUAGCCUAGUGGUUAGAGCGUUGGACUAGUAACCGAAAGAUUGCAAGAUCGAAUCCCUGAGCUGACAAGAUAAAAAUCUGUCGUUCUGCCCCUGAACAAGGUAGUUAACCCGCUGUUCCCCGGUAGGCCGUCAUUGAAAAUAAGAAUUUGUUCUUAACUGACUUGCCUUUUGUUAAAUAAAGGUAAAAAAUGAUAAUUGUAUUAAUUCUUGCACCAUGCGUUCAGUUAUCAGAUCUAAACAGGUAUUUUUGUUCACUGCGCUCUCUGCAGGCUUAUAUUUUCCCUGCCUGGCUAUAUGACAGACAGCUGUUGAUCAGAGCACGUCUCUGGAGCCGCUGAGCCGGAGGAGGAGGAGCGUGUGUCAAUCCUAUAGUAGGACUCAAUGCGGCCAGCAGGUCAAACGAACAACUAAAAUGAACGAGUCACUCAGAAAAAUGAGUCCGUAAAAACAGUCGUUCACAAAGAAAGAAUUGUUUGCAACCUGACAACGCAAUAGUGAUGUGCAGUUUAUCAGAAACCACCAGGGAGUUCACUCUGGAGAGAAACGUUGUCAGGUUAUCAGAAACCACCAGGGAGUUCACUCUGGAGAGAAACGUUGUCAGGUUAUCUGAAACCACCAGGGAGUUCACUCUGGAGAGAAACGUUGUCAGGUUAUCAGAAACCACCAGGGAGUUCACUCUGGAGAGAAACGUUGUCAGGUUAUCAGAAACCACCAGGGAGUUCACUCUGGAGAGAAACGUUGUCAGGUUAUCAGAAACCACCAGGGAGUUCACUCUGGAGAGAAACGUUGUCAGGUUAUCUGAAACCACCAGGGAGUUCACUCUGGAGAGAAACGUUGUCAGGUUAUCAGAAACCACCAGGGAGUUCACUCUGGAGAGAAACGUUGUCAGGUUAUCUGAAACCACCAGGGAGUUCACUCUGGAGAGAAACGUUGUCAGGUUAUCUGAAACCACCAGGGAGUUCACUCUGGAGAGAAACGUUGUCAGGUUAUCAGAAACCACCAGGGAGUUCACUCUGGAGAGAAACGUUGUCAGGUUAUCUGAAACCACCAGGGAGUUCACUCUGGAGAGAAACGUUGUCAGGUCCUUCCGCUGCAACUGCUUUAAAAAUUGACUGAACUUGUAGAACAUGGUAGAAAGUCAGUUGUUUUCAUAGAGAGCAGUCAGUCAGUGUCCUGGCACCAGGAGUCCCUGUUCAUCUAUGAUAGAGGACAGUGUCCUGAGUGGUAUUAUAUCUCAACCCUGUUCAUCUAUGAUAGAAGACAGUGUCCUGAGUGGUAUUAUAUCUCAACCCUGUUCAUCUAUGAUAGAAGACAGUGUCCUGAGUGGUAUUAUAUCUCAACCCUGUUCAUCUAUGAUAGAAGACAGUGUCCUGAGUGGUAUUAUAUCUCAACCCUGUUCAUCUAUGAUAGAAGACAGUGUCCUGAGUGGUAUUAUAUCUCAACCCUGUUCAUCUAUGAUAGAAGACAGUGUCCUGAGUGGUAUUAUAUCUCAACCCUGUUCAUCUAUGAUAGAAGACAGUGUCCUGAGUGGUAUUAUAUCUCAAAAGGACACUUUUGUUUUUGUUUUGUGAAGGUUCAUUGUUCACUAACCAUGUCUGAUUUUAACAUUGUUAUUGAACGACUAUUAAUCUGUCUUUUCUGUUUGAUCAAACCCAUGAAUAAACUGACAAAGGCACAUUGUCGACAAGCAGACUGCA